rnacentral:rRNA from 1 species
UAGUGCACAAUGGGGGAAACCCUGAUGCAGCGACGCCGCGUGAGCGAAGAAGUAUUUCGGUAUGUAAAGCUCUAUCAGCAGGGAAGAANNUGACGGUACCUGAUUAAGAAGCCCCGGCUAACUACGUGCCAGCAGCCGCGGUAAUACGUAGGGGGCAAGCGUUAUCCGGAUUUACUGGGUGUAAAGGGAGCGUAGACGGCAGCACAAGUCUGGUGUGAAAUACCGGGGCCCAACCCCGGGACUGCAUUGGAAACUGCCAGGCUGGAGUGUCGGAGGGGCAGGCGGAAUUCCUAGUGUAGCGGUGAAAUGCGUAGAUAUUAGGAGGAACACCGGUGGCGAAGGCGGCCUGCUGGACGACAACUGACGCUGAGGCUCGAAAGCGUGGGGAGCAGACAGG